rnacentral:lncRNA from 1 species
UUUGCAUUGCCUGGUUUAACGAUUGCCUCUGGAUCUGCUUUGAACCACUCUCUUGCAAUUUGUAUUGCAUUAUUGUUUGUGUUAGCUGAAAUAGGACUACCUCCACCGGAAAAAAAGAGAGUAAAUUUCAAUUACCAAAGAUGAUUGGAACAUUCAUGUAAGGUUUAGCAAAUGGACUAGUGCCGUGGGACGCGCAUCAAAAGUCUAAGUCCAAACGAGUCAAAUGAGGUUUAGCUUAUUUUUGGAUUAUUAAGAUAUUAUUUAGAACUUUUCAAUUCCGAGUCUCUAUAGUAUAUGAGUGCAAUUAAGAUAUUAUUGGUAAGAGCCUGGGACCAAGAGGUUUGCUCUCUCUGUGGUCUCAGGUUCGAGCUCUGUGGUUGCUCAGAUGAUGGCCACUGAAGGCUUACAGGGUCGUUAACUUUAGGGCCCGUGGGAUUAGUCGAGGUGCGCGCAAACUGGUCCGGACACCCACGUUAAACUAAAAAAAAAAAAUGAGUGCAAUUAUAGUGCUUGAGAAACCCUAACUUUCAAUCUUCCAUUAUAAGUUGCAUUAAUUGGAAUUAGAGCGGGUUGACUUGUUUGAUGGAUAAAGGUGUUGGUAACAUAUUUCCACCUGAAGUGGAGGCCUUCUAGGAUGUUACGAGGGCUCGAGAGGCAACAUGGAAAGUACUGACACAUAAAUUUGAUUGGUUGGACAGGGGGAGGCCCAACAAGGGAAUGUGUUGAGGAGAGGGACGUGCCUAGAUAAUUACCUCAAGAAAGACCAAAGCCCGUAUUUAUUCCUACAAACUCAUAUAGGCAUCAUGUCAAUAAGAAAGUGGUAUUUUAUGAUAGAUGAUACAUUGAAGACUUAACUUGCAGCUAACCUUUUCAUAGAUGUAAAAAAAUCAAUAUUAUUUAAAAGAGGCCCUCUAAACUUUCAGUUUGUUUGUAAGAGUUGAAAGCAUAUUUUCAAUUGAAGAAGAUUCCUAGUUAUCAGAAAGGUAGGAUUUGAUCCCUUAAUUUUUAUAAAUUUUCAGUUUGUUCCCUCAAUGUUUAGAAAUUUUUAGUUUUCAAAUUGAUUUUUAUGAAUAAUUGAGGUUUAUUGACUUGUUUUGUUUUGAAUUAAAAUUUUAGAAACCGUUUGAUUUUUGGUUUUUUUUUGGAAAAAAAUUGUUUGGUUCCUAAAUAUAUAGAGUUAUGAGUUAGACCCUAGGAUGAACGUAUUAAAUUGACUUUAUGUUCCUUUCAAGUUUGUUUUGAGCAUGUCUUCUUUUGUAUUCAAAUAUUCCUGACAUUCCACAUAAGUAUAUUAAUAGAAUUUCUUUCAGCAUCUGCUUAUGUGUUUGUUUUGCUUUUGUGUUAAGCGAGUAGAUAAUAUUUUACAUGUAUGAGAAAUAAUAUAAACUAGCUAUGUGACCCGCGCUUCGCCGCGGGUCAAAUAUUUUUAUUUUUCAUAAAAAAAGAUAUAUGCAGGUUGUUUUCAACGUAUUUUUGUGGUCAAAAAAUGUAACAAAUCAAAAAGUUUAUGCACACAUGUAAUCAAAUAAACUAACAAUUAUGUAAGCUAAUAGAUAAAUAAAAAAUCAUUAAUGACACCUAAAAACAAAACCUGAAAAACUGAGAGACAGAUGUAGAUCAAUAUAUUUAAUCUUGAAAAAUAUGACAUGAAAUUGAUUGAAUAAUAAAAAAAAGAAUAACAUGUAAGGUUACACAUAUUAAAAAUAUUAUCUGAAAAUAAAUAUUUUGUAUUUUCAAAAACAUAGUUUAUCUAUAUAAAAGAUAAAAACAAAACCUUAGAUGAACAAGAAAACCUUUAUGAAAAUUAAACGCAUAAGAAAAAAAUCAAUAUUAUUUAAAAGAGGCCCUCUAAACAAAAUAAAAGAGAGGAGGUUUUUUCUAUUUUUUUAGUUUUUAGUUUUUUAAUCGGUCAUGCCAUUUUAUUUCUUUUCAAUUGCAUUCUUUAAAGUUAUAUUUUUAUGGCAACCAUGUCAGAUCCAAGGUGCUUGGCGCUUGGGUCUGGCAACCAUGCCAGCAACAGCGAUGCGUUGCCUGUUUUGCCUAAAUUCCGGUCAGUGUGGUGACUGAAAAAGCAGGGCCUAUGCUCUUAUGACCCAAAAACCUGUUUUGCAAUAUGUUUUUGACCCAAAACACCUAUAAAACACUAUAGAAAUCAUAAUAAACCCAUUCAUGACCUUUAAAAAAAAAAUCCAAAUAUCCGCCCUAAAACCAAAUUUAACCCAAAAUAAAAAAUUAACCCGAGUUCAAAUCUAUUUUUCACAAACUUUUAAGGUAUAAAACACCUAAUAUGACUCCCCUCAUCAAAUGGAACAAUUUGACACAAAAAUCCCUUAUUUUAGUGGUCUAAAUCGAUGCCAACGACAAGUUUCACUCUCUACCGCUAUAAUUCGACGACUCCCCUCUCCCUUCUCUCUCAACUAGAGACAAAAAAUUAACAAAAAUAAACUUCUGCAUCAAAAUAGAAUUCGAACAAUUUUGAGGGACCGAAAUUGUAUAAUCUGUUUAACUCUUUACCGCUAGAAUCCGACGACUCUCCUCUCGCUCCUCUCUCAACCAGGGAUAAAAAAUUAACAAAAAUAAACCUCUGCAUCAAAAUAGAAUUUGAACAAUUUUGAGGGACUGAAAUUGUAUAAUCUAUGUAAUUGUUUAAGUUGGAGGACCAAAGUGAAUGUUUCUGAAAUUUAUGGUACGUCACCCAUGUUUGCCCCGUGUUUCAUUUCGGUCCCUCCUCUUCGAAUCCUAUCAUUUUAUAAGAAUUUGAAAUCAAUUGCUCCUUAAAUAGGACUUGAUCGCCCAAAAACAAAGUUUGAUGACCAAACUGAAAAAAAAACAAAUUUUUGCAUAGUGACAAAUGUACAGUGAAAAUACACCGCGUUUUGCUUUAUUGCCCGUGUUACGUAACAUGCAUGAUGAAUUAUUUUUAGCAAAUAUAUAAACCAUUCAAACAUAAUAAAUUUCUAAAUAUUUUUGUCAUAUAAAGCUCCAAGUGCAUGUAAACAAAGCAAGCAAUAGCAAUAUUAUAAAACAUUUUUUAAUCCGAGAAUUAAUUGAGACACAACGUUGCAUGAAGGCCAAUCAAACAAAAGACAUAAUAUUUAACAAAAUGACCAUAGUGCAACAAAAAGGUUGCAUGGAGUUUGUUUCAACAAUUAUAGUCCUAGAGUAGGCAAAAAGUUAUAGCAACCAACAUGACAUUUAGCAAAAUGAUCAUUGUGCAGGAUGUUGUCUUCUUGAUCUCUCGCUGUUCCUGCAAUAAAAUGGAGGGUAGAAGAAGUGGGUAAGUAUCAUAUGAUUGAAUAUAUACAUGUAGGGUCAAGCAACAAAAUGGAUGAGAUAAUUAGUUAACAAAAUAAGAACGUGGAUAGAAAAUUAAGAGCAUCACCUUAGCAGGUAUAGAAGAAAUGGGUCGUUGUUUCUUAAAAACCGGUUCCGCUGGAUUGUUAUCUCCUAUGAAAUAAUUAUUUUCUGAAAUGUAUACACAAAAGCUACUCAUCUUUUUUUUUUUUUUUCGUUCAAACCAUUCUUUAACCCUGACACAUGAUCCUUUUGUCAAAUGAUAGCAGUUCUUUUCACUAUACCAUAGCAAAGUGAAAGAUAACAAAUCAAAUAACAACCAUAACAACUAGGAAAACCAACAAGCAAUGACCAAAAGAAUAGAAGGUUGGGAAAAUACAUCAACCAAUUUUAAAAAACACACGACAAACUAAAUUAACAAAAACCAAAUCCAGCAAAACUCAGAGAGAAACAAACAUGGAAAAUCAACGAAGACGAAAUGCAAUGUAACUAUGAAAGCAUGAAAACUGUGGCCAACACAAAGUAAAGGAUGCAAAAACAUGGCAACCCUCGAAACAACAAUACGAAAAUAGAAAAAGAAAGUCAAUCAAAUAGUACAUAAAGUGACAACACAACAAACACACAUUAACAAAAAAGAGCAAAUCAAGCAAGUUAACAAAACCAAACAGUAAGGAAAGGACAAACCUUUUAUAACUCACCAAGAGAGGAUAUAAAGGAUCCAAUACCCCUAUACAGAGGAUCCAAAACCCCCAGAUUAAAUGUCAACACCUCAAGAAAUCAUCUAAUCAGAUUCAGUCUGCUCCUCUAAAGACCAACUACCCAGCCUAGCAUCCACUGCAUUAAAUGUAAAAUCCUCAUCGCAAGCCACAUUUCUCUAAGCCUAGACUCACAACCAAUUGAACGCCAUCCUGGAAAUCAAACCCCACAACUAGAGCUCUUACAAACCGACAGAGCUGACAACGUGUCACGGAUGGAAACAGAGAAGAUAGGAACUAACAAGGGAAAAGAGGGAUGUAAUUCAAAUCAAGCAUAACGAUUAUGUUUUACGAAAGCAGGAUUUAAUUCAAACAUAGUUAAACGAUUGUGUUUCACACAACCCGGUUAAAGUCACAAAUAACAAGAUAGCCACGUGUUGAGGUCAGGCAUCUUGUAGAAGAGAAUAGAUGUUUUUGGGUUCUUUAAAUACCCUAAGAAUUAUAACAGAUGGUUAUGACAUUUUAUAUAAUAGAAAUCCAAUAUUCUCUCAUUCCUUUCUCUGACGUGUUCCUUGGAAAUCCAUGUAGAGUGCAUGAACACAACCUUCUUCUCUUCUUCCCAACUCUUUCCUUCUUCACCAUUAUACUCAGCAUACGCUAGUUAAUCUUACACGCAGCACAACACCCAGCCAACCUGAGCCAACACACACAAACUAACCAAAAUCAAACCUUGCCACAACCAAAUCAAAAGCACACAGAUAAGAAAAAAAAAACAAAAUGAAGGGCAAAGAAAGCUCACCUGACCAACCCCCAAACAAAAAGCAAGAGAAAUAGCUGCCAACACCCCUCUAUUCUAGCUGGACCAAGCUAGAUCUAGCCACCAUGAGGCCUGGGAGAACGAAACAAAACCAUGAGAAUAUAGCCAAGACCAAACCACCCCCAAGCCUUACACAUCAAUAGCCGCGAAGCCAAACCAACCAUGCCCACAACGGAGAGGGUCUAGGUCAAUAGUACAAAAAAGUUCUUUCCCCACACAGUAUACUCUUGCCACACAUAUCAUAAUUGAAAAAUUGGAAAACACUGUGGACCUGAACAGUUUUUUCCCUCACCACAUCAUGUCUUUCCUCGAGAAAGAGGAAAAACAUUGUGGACAUGCACAAUGUUUUUCCCCACCAUACAUAAGGAGAGAAUGGGAAAAACAUUGUGGACUAGUGCAAUGUUUUUCCCAUGCCAUUUAGAUUAUAAGGUAAUAUUUGAAGAGUUAACAUGAACUGGAUCAUGCUUCUUGAUAAUAUAUAUUGAUUAUUAGCCUUUGUUAUAAUAAAACAUGAUCAUUUGUUGAAUCUGAAUUUUGGAUAUGAGAUAUAUAUGUGUACGUUUGAUUUAAUAGCUCCUUAUUUGAUUGAUGUUAUGAGUUGAGCUUGGGAUAUCAUUCUAUUUGUUUGAUUGUGAUAUGAACCCUUGGUAUACCAGUCAUAAUACCAAUAUUUAUAGGGUAGUGUUAGUCUUUGUGCACAUCGUAUCUAAACCCUAGUUGGCCAGGGGAGUCACCAACCUAUGAUGACUAAUUAUCCCACAAUCUGAAGCAUCAUACUCAUUGUAUUUUGACGAGUCUUACGUUAUGACAUUUUUUGUUAUGACGUGUAUGCGAAACUCUUUUGUCAAAGCAUAAGCCAAACUUGUAUAUAUAUUCCCCAUUAAUGUAUUACCUUGUAUGUGUAUAUUGAACAUUAUCUACUCACUAAGUUAUUGAACUCAUUCUCUCGUCAUUUAUCAUUUUCAGGCAUAUAGCUUGGUGGUAGGUCACUUUUUUUGAACUUCAGAACCUGAAUUUUGUUGUUGUUGUUGUUGUUGUUGUUGUUGUUGUUGUAAUUAACAUUAUCCAGUUAUAUCUAGUUAGUGCUCCACAAUUAUAGAAUUUGUAUUAACUUUUGUAUUAUGACGAUCAAUUUAUAUUAUUAAGAUAGUUUUAUUAUUAAUGUUGCAAAGAAAUUUGUUUUGUUUAUAUAGGUGAAAAAGUUUGUAUGUUUGUCUAGGUUCGUAUUGGUAAAGAAAUUUUGAGGGAGUCCUUAUUUAUGUGCCGGUCAUGAAUCCGGGAAUCGAGUCGCGACAAGUUGAGCCAUUAAUAAAAUAGUUUUAUAACUUAUUUUUAGAUUAUUAAGAGAUUAUCCAGCUUGAUUAUUUAAAAGUUUUUUUUUUUGGUAAUUUUUAAGGUUUGAAAAACCCCAUCUUUUUAUCUUUUACUAUACUUUGCGUCAAUAAAGAAAGCCGAGUUUGGGAAGAAUAAUCAAGCGACCAUAGACCGUUGAUCUUAGGCAUGUUAUAUGGCCAUGCCACCAAAAAGUGCCUGUUUGUCCUGCAAUGGUGCAGUUAUAUACAUAGUUCUGUCCACAAUCCACCGGCUUCGAAGCUGCCGAAUUCCAUGUAUCAGUGAAAACAUACAUAGAAAUUUAGAAUUUGCCUUCUCAAAAACAGGUUGACUAUUUGGUGAAAUUGUAAAAAAAGUCCGUAUAUUUGUACCAGUGGAUAAAGAUAUUGUUUUGGACAAGGUUAGCCACUUUAAUAAGAAGACGAUCACAAACCCUCCCCCCUCCCCAGCUACAAUGCCAGGCCCUGGGAGAUUGACUGCUACUAUGCUCAGGUGGGACAAAGGCAUGUCACAUUUUAAACAUAACCUGCAAAAUUUUAUUUUCUUUAGACUGUUAAAAAUAACCUGCAUCUUGAUAGCUGAUAUACUAAAUUGUCAAUAGCGUCAGAAACAAAUAUAGAAAACAUUUUUUUUUUUUCCUUUGAAGUUCAAAUUUGAUGUGUGUGACAAUAUUAGCUUGAUAAUUUUAGGUGCCAAAGCUGAAGGACAUAACGUAUCAUUAAGCUUGUAGUGCCUGAUAAUGGCAAGUGUAGGCUUAGGAUGGAGGCACAAACUACAAAUGAUUAAAAAAAAACCCUGCCAAAAUGCUGGUGAUGAUGGAAGAAGAGAGACCCACAAUUUUUUUUUUCUGUUUUUUCUUUCUGGCCAGGUGCACCAAUUUGUGAAUUUUGAAUUGUUGUUUUUAUACUCAAAGGUACUGUUAUGAGCAGUAUAUAUAGAGUGUUGAAAGAAAAAUAUUGGUUGAUUAGGCGAUAGACAUUGUAUAUUUUAAAAUGACAAAACUAAAACAGGCUUCAAGAAUCAUGUGUCCUUGUACAUAUUUUCAGUUUAUUAACAUCCUCAAUUCUAAAUCCUUCCAUGCAUUUCUUGUCUUUGGCUAAACAGACUUCCAUUUACAGCAAGAGAAAUGGAGCGUUGAAUUUAGCAAACCGUAUCGGCAUGGAUGCCUGGUAGGUCAGACUUCCCUUAAUGCUUGGCGAUAAAGCUAACAAGUAACCAAAGGCUGCUAUCAAACAAGUCAUUUCAGUGUUAGAUGUGCUAUGGUUUUUCUGUUGUUUUUGUUCUUUUUCUGUGUCAAAGAAGUCAUUGUUGAUUCGCGGGGGAUCAAAUAUUUUGUUUCUCAUUAAAUCUCACAAAUCCAUAGCCAUGGCCACUUCUGUUGGGGUUCUUAUUAAUGAAGGCAUCAGCCAGACCGCUGUACGAAGAAAAAUCAUACCAUAAGUCAAGAGGCUGGACAUCCUAUGGGAAGUUAUCAACAAAGAAGGAUAGGAUUUGAGAGGGAGACAUGGGAGCAAAGAGGCAGAGAUGGAUUGACCAGAGGAAUAGGUUAAGGUUGGCUAAAAAGAGUAGGGAGUGGUGGAGGAUUGUAAAUGAUGGGGGAGCAUAAGACUAGAGAAAGAAAGCUGUCAUUGAGGCACUAAAGGGUAAACACUUUAAUAGGGAUUUGGAUUGGAGAAACAAAAGGGAUCUGAUGCAUGUAGGCUUGUAGCUUUGGAGUGGUGGCCUCGGAAGAAAGGCAAACGAUCCCAGAUAUAAAAAUUGUGAUAUCUGGAGUUCUUGUAGUGUUAGCUCAAUCCUUUGUUUUAAAAAAAACGAAAAGAAUAGCGAAAUGUUUACUUGCAUUAAAAAGAAACAGAUACGUUCGUUUCCUUUCCUCAACUCAAACAGGGUAAUCAGAAUAAUUUCAGAGCUUUAAUGCUCAGAAAUGGGCAAGGAAAUAAACUGGCUGGUUACCAAAAAAAAAAGUCAUCAAGGAUUUUCUGGUCUCAAUGUAGUUAAGAAGUAGCCAAAAGCCUUGAAUUUCAACACUUAGGAAGAUCAACUGGUGGAGGAAGCAGCCUGUGAUUCGGAAGCUUUCCAUCCAAGACAACCCAAGCCAUCAUCAAACCCCAGCUCAUGUGCAAUUCUACAUGACAAUGCAGGAACCAUACACCUGAUGACAGCCAUCAUCCACAUCGAACAAGUCAGGAAACCAUGGUAUUACUACAUGAAUUUAAUUAUCUAAGCUAGGAUAUUACUUAGCAUUAUAUACUUUUAAUUAAUUACCAACCUGGAUUGUCUGCUAAAAACCGUAUAGCAACCCAGCCUCCAGAGGGCACUCCCACAGUAUUCCUUUCAACGGGGUCGACAAGAUUGAAAUUUGCAGGAUCCUUUUUUGGAUCAAAGUUCCCAAAACCUUGACCAACAACAAAGAAAUUGAAACCAUGCAAAUGAAGAGGGUGGCUCUCAGCACCAAGGAUGCUGGUGUCCUGCAUAAUGAGCUCCACGCUGGUGUUAAAAGGAAGCAUAACUAGCUUUGUUCCAUGGCUCACCAUAGUAUUGUUUUGUGGGGUGCCGGUAUAAUCAAAAGGGAUUAGUGGACUGAUUGGAAAGUUAGGACUGUAAACGCCCUUUGAUUGACCAAAAUGAUGGGCUUCGAGUAAAGCUUUGGUCGGCAUUACAAAUGAUACAUUAUUAACUGAAGCUGCAAACCUUGUUCCAUUUGGUCCCUGGCAGGUUUGGUUUUUAGAGCACGGAUUUGUUCCGAGGCCUACGGUGAAGAAAAAAUGUCUGUCGACCUUUUGCGGCACAUUGGCUGGGAAUUCUGCGCUUGCUAGGCUGCGGAGUUUGCUAGUGAAAUUUGUAGCGAAUGAAGUGUCAUUUAGAGGUGGUAGAUUUGGUUUAUAGAGCGGCAGUCUCUUAGAGGUGUGGCUUGAUUGAAUUGUUUUGCGUGCAACUUCAUAUUCUAAGAUUCCAGCAACAGUUGAAUUAUCAAAAGUUCCUUGACCAGUCACGUAAGGUCUAGCAGACAUGAAAAAUUUGGCGUCUGGGUGGUGGGGCUUGGUCUUUAGAAGAACAUCUGUGGUUUGUCCUGAGGCAAUCAGAAGUGUCUCGGUAUCAAAUGGUUUCACAUAAAUAGCAUCAACACCAACAACUGUGAGUGUAUGGUUUGCUAUGCUGAAGAAGAGCUCCUCAUUGAGUGCGGCAUUGAUCAAGCGAAGAAGGUAAGUCUUUCCUGGCUUUACCUUCAGCUUGAAAGUAUCUGUCAAGCACCAUGCACACAAGGUCAAUGAGAGAAAAAAAAAAAUGCUCUGUAUUGUUGUAGAAGGCCUGCUGCGCUAACAUAUUAUACUUUUGGCAGAGCAGUUAUACAAUGGCCCUGGGAGUCCAUUGAUAGUGUAGGCAUCAGAGACAUUUGGGCCUCCACCCGUUUGCAUUGCCUGGUUAAUGAUUGCCUCUGGAUCUGCAUUGAACCACUCUCCUGCAAUUUAUUUUGCAUUAUCGUUUGUGUUAGCAGACAUAGGACUUCAUCAACAGGGAAAACAAAUGAUCGGAACUUCCUUACUGUAGAUUACCAAAGAUGAUCGGAACUUCCUUGUCAGGUUUAGCAAAUGGAUAAGGAGUGCCGAGUUUGGGAAGAAUGAUAAGUGGACCGUAGAGAGUUGAUCUUAACCAUGAUAUAUGGGCAUGCCACCAAAGAGUGCCUCUUUGUCCUACGAUGGUGUAGUUGUACACAUAGCUCUGUCCAGUUUGUAUAGGGCACUGAGUUACGUAUGCCGGUCCAUCAGCCCACCCACUUCGAAGCUGCCGAAUUCCAUGCCUGUAUCAAUGAAAUCGUCGACAGAGAUUUAGACCCAGCUUUUCGAUACAAGGCUCACUAAAUUUAGAGAAAAUUGAAGGAGGUCAGUCAAUAUAUAUGUACCAGUGAAUAGAGAUAUUGUUUUGGACAUGGUUAACCACUUUAAUAAGAAGACGAUCACCCUCCCUAGCAACAAUACAAGGCCCAGGGAACUUGGCAUUGACUGUUACCAUGCUCUUGGUGUGGCAAAGGCGUGUCACAUUUUGUAACAGAACCUGCAAAAUUUCAUUUUCUAUAGACCGUUAAAAACGAGGUUAAAAAAGAAGAAGAAGAAGAAGAAGAAGAAGAAGAAGAAGAGAGAAAAUUUGAACAAUUUUAUGUACUUUCGACAAAGUCAUGUAUGUAACACAUACAUCAAAUUUGUAGUGCCUGGUAAUGGCAAUUGCAGGCCGAGGAUGGACAAACAAAGUGACAAAAGAGGAGAGAAAAACCGCCAGAGAUGCUGGUGAUGGAAGAAGAUAGACACCCAUUUUUCUUGUCUGUUUUUACUUUCCAACAAGGCUAGAUGAUGCACCAAUUUGUAAUCCAUGAAAUGCUGUUUUUAGCUAUAUGUUCAUCGAAUCUUAGAGAGUAGCAUAUAUCAUUAAGGAAUCAGAUUGUGAUGUUUAAUGGCAAAUCCACACUUGCCGUUAGCUAUUAAAUUCAUACUUAAUGACAUUUAUUUCUAGAAUCUCCAAUCUUGCUGCGAAGAUGGCAACCUAGCUACUCCUUGAAUUAAAUUUACCAAUAAUACUUCUUAUACUCCUGUACAAUGAAUGUCUAAGUAUUAUUUUGAUUGAGAAAAUUUUAAUUUUUGCAAUAAUGUUUUAUUAUCUAGUUUUUAUGUGAAAGUCUUAUUAAUUAAAAUCCUUGAUCUCAUUUGGUUAAACAUGCUUCGCUACAAUCUAACAAGUAAUGUUGCAAUCAGAAAUAAAAGGAUAAACGAGAUUUAUUAUAAUUUAAAUUAUUCAAAGACUAAAAAUACUGUAAUUAUAGAGAGACAUAAAAGAUAUUUAAUUUUUAUUUAUUAAAGUCUUCUUUACCUUUGUAUAAUUAUGAAAAAUCUCUGCUUGCAAGUGAAAGGCAAGUUAUUACUUGGAAGUUUAUGAAAAUAUAAAUGUCAGGAUUGAGUGUUGUGUUAGAGAAUAAUAUAGAUCAUAACUUGAAAUCUCACUUAACAGCUUAUGCUUUUGGGUUGAAUUAAUUCUUUGAUAUGAUAUCAAAGCCUUGAUGAUCAAGCGUUCACGAGUUUGAAUCUCACCAUCCCUAUUUAUUUGAUAAAAAAAUAAGCAUAAGGUGGUAUAAGUUUAUGCAAGUUUUAAGCCCAAAGGGCUUUCACUUGAGAGAGUGUGUUAAAAAAUAAUAUAAAUUAUAUCUUGAGACCUCAUCUAAUAGCUUAAGUUUUCGAGUUGAAUUGGUUCUUUGACAUGUUGAAUAUGAUUUUAUUGAUUUUGAAUUUUAUUUACAAAUUUUCCUUUCAAGGGAAACUGGAUCUUAUUUGUUUAUAAAGUAUAGUUGUUUCAAGGAAAUGUUUGAUUGUUUCUAGUAAAUAGUUUUGAUGCAUGAGAUUAUAGGAUUCUUAUAUAUUAGCUGGUUGUGUUUUUCUCAUGAGGAAUGAGUUGAUGCAUGCCUCUUGAAUUCAUUUAUUUGUUAAAUUUGGAAGAUAACAUCAUUUUGUUGAUAGGAGGAGGGGAGGAUUGUUCAAUGAGAGGAUUGUUCAAUGAGUCUAGGGUACUUGCUUAAGGAACAUGCAUCACCAAUCUUAACAAACCAAGAUCAUGAUUUAUGGUCUAGGAGAUAAAUGAACAACCUAAAAUAAUCUUUAUAGUUGCUUAAAACUUGUUUAAAAUAACUUUUACAUAUGAUUGGAUUAUAAAAUUGUAAAAUUGCACACUCUUAAAAGUACCCCUUAUAAAUAUAAUACAAAAAAUUGUAUUAUUUUAUAUCACUAUUUAGAAAAAUAUUAAUAUUAAUACUAGAUUUAUAAGAAUUUGCUUUAAAAAAAAAAACAGAUCCUAAUACAUUACCUUUAUGAAUGAUAUAAUUGAUCAUAAACUACAUUAAGAAAGGGUUUGAAAUUUUCAAACUAUGAUGCUAUAUAUAUAUAUAUAUAUAUAUAUACACUUCCUGUUUACUAUUUAAUCUGUUAUCUGGUAUCAGAGCCUAUUGGGAUCUGGGUGGGAAUAGUAACAUAAAAGCCAGUAUUCUUAGAAAGAACAAGAGACCAUUAGACUAUAGGUAUGCAACUGAAUGGUGUAAGUCCCGUUUGAGUUUUAGGGCAAUAAAUCCAUAUAACCUGCAGCCUGUUUCCUAGUUUAUCUUUCCUUUCUAUGGAUUCCGUCUUUCACAGGACUACUUCUCUUUCGGCUUCCUCUACCUCUGAAUCUUCUGAAAGCAGAAGAAUAGUACAAAGUGAAGAGAUAACUAUUGAAGACUUUACAAAAAACAUUGAUGACUGGAAAAUUCCAAAAAUUUCCCAAACUCAGAUUUAUCAAAAAUCUAAAUAUGAUAUUUUCAAAACAGAUUUUACUAUCAAAACUGAAGAGCGAGAUAUUCAGCUUACCAAACCUUUUGAAACCAUUCAACUCCUCUCUCAAAAAUCCUUACAAAAACAUCUAGCCCGAAACUAUAAAUAUAUUCAUGUUGGCCUUGUCCAGGUUGGAAUAAAACCCCUUACAAAAGAAGGCUUAAACACCUCCAUUCUAGCUGUCCUCCGUGAUGCUAGAUUUCAAAACUUCCAAGACUCCCUCCUCAGUUCUAUUGAGUCUAGCCUUUGCAGUGGGCCGGUAUCAUUUGACUGUUAUCCAAACAUAACCAUAUCCCUCAAAGACAAAAAUAUCUUGCAAAGUAUGCUACUUCAAAUAAAGACCCACAACUAUGACAUGCUCGAAGGAUCUAUCCCUGUUGCUCUCAUAUUCAAAAUCCAUUACAAAGCCAUGUUCUCAGCCUUUGCCAGCAAACAUAAAUUCCAAUCUAAAAAAGGCGAAACACUCCUACUACAAACAGAUUUAUCCCGCUCAAACACUGUUGUCCCAAAAGCAAUCCAAUGGAAAGACAUAUCCCUACCAGAAGAUUGGAUCCUUGAAGGUGCAGCACCACCAGAACUACCACCACCACCUCAACCCAAUGUCCAAAUUAAAAACAUUACCCAAUAUACAGAUGGAAAAGUCAAACUGUCUUUCCACCGACACUCUACAAGUUCCAGAUUCUCAGAAGCCUCUUCCUCUUCCAGUACAAUAGAUUUGGGAAGAAUUUCCAAAAUCCCUUCUGUUAUCAAUAUCCCUUAUCACGAAAACCUUCCAAGAAAAUCUACAUCCGAUAUCCCUUCUCCUAGUUUCCAAAAUGCAGACUAUACUACAAGUAUACCAAAACCUGUCUAUACAAACCUUGAGCAACCAUCUCCUCCAACUUCACCGACCUUUUCAGCUAUUACUGAAAAUAUCCAAAACGAGCUGAAUGUUUUGACUUCAGAGAAACAUUUCGUCCUUGACAAAACACUUUUCAAAAAGGAUUUCUAUUCGGCCUGUAACUCUACAAAACGAAUUUGGUUUUUUCAAAACUUUCUCGAACAUAGAAGUGAAAUACAAAAACAAUUUUAUAAUUUCAUUGAGCUACAUAAAAUACAAAUUCUAUUCUUUGAUUGGUUCGAAUUAUAUUAUGCAUCUGAACAUCACAUUUCAUAUCCUUUUGCAUCCAUUAAGCAUGCAUGCUCGGUCACAUCAAGGUCAAAAACCCCAGUAUGGAACCUCACCAGUGGACCUACAGUUGAGUCUGAACAUCCACCUUUGAGAAAUAUCCAAAUAACCCAUAAUAACCAGACUGUCGAGGCAGCCCCUUACAAAUUAUCCACUGAUGACACCCUUUCCAAUACAAAACACAUCAUUAACCAAAACAACUUUACAAACACCAACCUUAAUACCUUGGGAAAGCAGCUUACAUGGCUUGAGAAACAAAUACAAAGAACUGCUACAAGUUCAACUGGCAUUAAAACCUCAACCGACUUAAAGCUAAAAAACCCAGUCUUCAAACCCUACCAAAUUACAAAAACCAGCCAAACACAGAUCCAAGAUAACCAAACAGAUUUUCUUAAAUAAGAAUAGUUGGUUCAGUAGUUAUGGAAAUAUCUGGGGCAAUGGUUGUUUUGGGAGUUUGCCAAGUAAGUCUGUUUAGGGUAAGAGGUUUUUGUGGAGAAGUACCUUCAUCAGAAGAUUCCUGAGGACUAUUCUGUAACGUGUUGACUUGAUUUGUAGAGGUAGAAGGGUUGGUUGUUUGUGGUGUGUCGGGGACAGUUAAAGAUGAACUGUCAAGGUGUUGUAGAUGCAUUUUAAUAGCUUUAAGAAAAUCUGUUUGGUUAUCUUGGAUCUGUGUUUGGCUGGUUUUUGUAAUUUGGUAGGGUUUGAAGACUGGGUUUUUUAGCUUUAAGUCGGUUGAGGUUUUAAUGCCAGUUGAACUUGUAGCAGUUCUUUGUAUUUGUUUCUCAAGCCGUGUAAGCUGCUUUCCCAAGGUAUUAAGGUUGAUGUUUGUAAAAUUGUUUUGGUUAAUGAUGUGUUUUGUAUUGGAAAGGGUGUCAUCAGUGGAUAAUUUGUAAGGGGCUGCCUCGACAGUCUGGUUAUUAUGGGUUAUUUGGAUAUUUCUCAAAGGUGGAUGUUCAGACUCAACUGUAGGUCCACUGGUGAGGUUCCAUACUGGGGUUUUUGACCUUGAUGUGACCGAGCAUGCAUGCUUAAUGGAUGCAAAAGGAUAUGAAAUGUGAUGUUCAGAUGCAUAAUAUAAUUCGAACCAAUCAAAGAAUAGAAUUUGUAUUUUAUGUAGCUCAAUGAAAUUAUAAAAUUGUUUUUGUAUUUCACUUCUAUGUUCGAGAAAGUUUUGAAAAAACCAAAUUCGUUUUGUAGAGUUACAGGCCGAAUAGAAAUCCUUUUUGAAAAGUGUUUUGUCAAGGACAAAAUGUUUCUCUGAAGUCAAAACAUUCAGCUCGUUUUGGAUAUUUUCAGUAAUAGCUGAAAAGGUCAGUGAAGUUGGAGGAGAUGGUUGCUCAAGGUUUGUAUAGACAGGUUUUGGUAUACUUGUAGUAUAGUCCAAACACCUUGACAGUUCAUGGUUAGCUAAAAUGCAUCGAAAUAUGCAUCUGAACAUAUUUUUUAUACAAUCAUAAUUUUGAAAAAUUACUCUACUAUUAAAAAGGAAAUCCUUUCAAUUGUUCUUUGUAUUACAAAAUUUCAAAGUGACUUAUUAAAUCAAAAAUUUCUCUUACGUGUUGACUGCAAAUCCGCAAAAGAAGUUCUCCAAAAAGAUGUCCAAAAUCUUGCUUCCAAACAAAUCUUUGCCAGAUGGCAAGCCAUUUUAAGUAUUUUUGAUUUUGAUAUUGUUUACAUUAAAGGAGAAUCAAAUUGCAUCCCUGAUUUCCUAACCCGAGAAUUCCUUCAAAACAGGUCCUGAUGCCUCCUAAAGCAAAAGCCAAGGACAAGGGAAAAGCCCCUCAAACACAGCCUACAAAACCAGAGAGCCCCAAGCCUUCUACAAAACUCAUGUCUUCAGCCAUCCUCGCUGCCAAGCCUAUCAAAUCUUGGUAUGAGGCAGUUAUUGAAGAUGAAGACACUACAAAACCACCACAAGUACAAACAGAUGCAGUUCAACAUUGGGUUGACACUAUAUCCAAAUCGCCAGAAUUACUCCUGGCAUUGCAAAAAGUAUCUCAACAAGCCUCCACUGACUCCGUGUCUCCAACAGGUAGUAUUUCCAAAUCACUUUCAAAACCCCAAGGAGGCAUUUUAUCUUCAAAACCCCUCCUUUCCUUACAACAAACAAGUUUUCCAAAAACCAAAUCCAAAUAUAUUUUCAAAAAUGCUUUCCAAAACAUUUUAACUAUGGAAGAAGGAUUUUACCAUGAAAACCCUUCCAUUGCUGCUUCAAAAAUUUUCCCUCCAAAAUGGCACUAUAAACCUUGGAAUCUAGCUCAACCACAAUCCUAUUAUGCAACUAUCCUUGAAAUUACCGAUUUCAGGUCUUUUUAAGGCUCAUCUGUUUAGAGCCCAUUUCUUUUAGACUCAGAUGUUUUGAGCCUUUUAUUUUUCGGCCUAUCUAUUUUAAGGCCUUUUCUACAAAAGUUACCGGUUACUACAAACCCACCAAUCAAGUGUCGGUGGCAAGACGACAACAAACGAAGCUCAACCAAAAACGUGGACAAUUUCCAUUCUGUCGCCAUCCAAUCAAGGCAGACAGCACCACAUGGGCUCCUAUAGGUUCUGCCAAAGGCCACAUGGGUUCACAUGGGUCCUGAAGAGCUUCCCCAACAGGACAAUUUGGCCUCUUCCAUGCCAACUCGCCUAUAAAAGGCCACUUCAAAACCCUGAGAGGGCGGACUAAUCUUUCCCCUAGAAAACUUUACUCUCCCCUAAAAAUUUGUAACCCAUUCUCCUCUGUAACCAAUAUCUCCUGUCUUAAUUUUGUUACAAAUUUAAAGUAAGAUAAUCUUAUCUACGUUUUUUGUUAUAUCUGUUGGCCAUGGUCAUUUGUUGGAGAGUGUUUAGGAUAUUAUAUUCGGACAUUCCAUCUAUAUUCCAUUCAUAGAGGGAGGAGGCAUUAUACUUGUGUUGAGUAAGAAUAGUUGGUUCAGUAGUUAUGGAAAUAUCUGGGGCAAUGGUUGUUUUGGGAGUUUGCCAAGUAAGUCUGUUUAGGGUAAGAGGUUUUUGUGGAGAAGUACCUUCAUCAGAAGAUUCCUGAGGACUAUUCUGUAACGUGUUGACUUGAUUUGUAGAGGUAGAAGGGUUGGUUGUUUGUGGUGUGUCGGGGACAGUUAAAGAUGAACUGUCAAGGUGUUGUAGAUGCAUUUUAAUAGCUUUAAGAAAAUCUGUUUGGUUAUCUUGGAUUUGUGUUUGGCUGGUUUUUGUAAUUUGGUAGGGUUUGAAGACUGGGUUUUUUAGCUUUAAGUCGGUUGAGGUUUUAAUGCCAGUUGAACUUGUAGCAGUUCUUUGUAUUUGUUUCUCAAGCCGUGUAAGCUGCUUUCCCAAGGUAUUAAGGUUGGUGUUUGAAAAUAUUAUGCAUCUGAACAUCACAUUUCAUAUCCUUUUGCAUCCAUUAAGCAUGCAUGCCCGGUCACAUCAAGGUCAAAAACCCCAGUAUGGAACCUCACCAGUGGACCUACAGUUGAGUCUGAACAUCCACCUUUGAGAAAUAUCCAAAUAACCCAUAAUAACCAGACUGUCGAGGCAGCCCCUUACAAAUUAUCCACUGAUGACACCCUUUCCAAUACAAAACAGAAUUAUUGUUUACAUUAAAGGAGUAUAUAUAUAUAUAUAUAUAUAUAUAUAUAUAUAUAUAUAUAUAUAUAUAUAUAUAUAUAUAUAUAUAUAUAUAUAUAUAUUGAUAUAUAUAUAUAUAUAUAUAUAUAUUCUUUUUGGCUUUCAAUAAUUGCUACAAAGGUGAGUUAUCACAAACCACAAGAUAUCCAUGUGUUCACUCUCUAACGGUAAUCUACACGAACCAUCAAUGAGAAAUCUCCUAAAUUCUUUUAGAAUAGAGGAAUUUCUAUACCUUUGAGUGUUAACUCUUUUCUUUUGUGUUUAGAUAUUUUUGUAUUGCACUGUCUUGUAUAAAAAAUAAGUAGUAUAACAUUCUAUUUAUAGGGAAACCUAAAAACCCUAUAAAUAAAAAAAUAUCAAUUCACACUUUAAAUAAUAUCACAUAUAUUAUUUUAGAAUAAUUUUAGAAAUUUAUUCAAUCAAGUCCCUAUUCGAUUUUUUUUCUAAGUCUAGAAUUGUAAUCUCUUAUAUUCAUUACAUUAUAGUACUUAAUUUCUAAAACAUAAUUACAAUCAAGUCACACUUGAUUAAUCAUUCCAUUUUAAUUUCUGACUAAUAAUUCUUUUAUGUGUGAGUCAAUACGUUCCCUAAUAAGAUAACCCAAAUAUAAAUUAUAAUCCUAAAUAAAUAGGAUUAAAUAAAUUAAACAAUUUAAUUUAUUAUCAGUUCAACAAUUGAUUGAUUUAUAUUUGAAGAUCAAAUAAAUAUAAUGUCUAGCAACCUUUCAUGAUCCUCUAAGUAUUUAGAAAGUCAUAAGUGAUUCGACUUAAUCUUUUAUUGACCAGUUUCUCAAUGUAAUUAUUAUCAUUUAUCAAUAAUGUUUUAAUUUAAACAUUAUAGCAUGGAGUAUGUCAAGGUAGUGACUCCCUGAUCUUGACAUCCCGUUACGCUACGCGCCCACAUGCGACUCACUCAUUCCACUAGUUUACCAAGUUUUAUUGCUAAAAAGGAUAUAGGAUACACUCAUGGAGAUCAGUUAUUUCUUUAGAGAUAUAUGCUCCAACAAGUUGCAGAUAUAACACAUGGAGAUGCUUGAAAUGAAUAUAGUCUAGACAAUUUACAAACUUGAAAUGAUAUUCCUUGCAUCUUUCUUUGACUCAAUAGAGCAUCUACUCAUACAUCUACCGUUUAAGGCAAAAGUUGAAGACCCAGUCCAUAUAGAUAGAUGUAUCCAUUCGAGAAGUUAAUGAUUACACAUACAUCAUAAUUAAAAUUCUAUUGUUUUUUUAUUAAUUCAAAAUAUUCAUUUAAUUUCAUGCAUGUACUUGUUCAGCCUUAAGAGAAAAGUAAAAAAAUAAGGCGUAUGUUGAGGCUUCGAUAUAUGAAGCUUAUAUUGUUAAAGAGAUCUCAACAUUUAUCUCGUACUAUUUCGAGCCGUACUUGAGAACAAGAAUCAAUUGUGUUUCAAUACAUGACGACGAUGGGGAAGUGACUUCAAAUGGAAACUUGUCUAUACUUUUCUAUCUUGGACGACCCGUACCAAAACAUGUUGUGAGGAGAACAUAUUUAACAGAAAUAGAAUUCAAACAAGCACAUAAUUAUGUGCUAUUUAACUCCAAAAAAAUUUCACAUGGUUUAGAACAUUUGUAAAAACUGUUUAAUUAUUCUUAUAUCUCGAGAUAUUUAAUUUCAUUACACAUUUCUCAUUAACUAUGAUGGAGAUGUAAUUUAUGUACCAGGUUUAUCAAUUGAGAAGGAAUGCUAAUGUUACUUUGAAUUUACUAAGUCUGGAUCCUGAAAGAAAGGUGAAGUGCUAUAACAGGUAUUUCAUCAAUAGACAUAUGUUUCAUACUGAAGAGUAUAGUCAGAGUAGAAAGACAUGUAACAGUGGGAUCUGUGUUAAAGGAUCAACUUUUAAGAGUUUGAAGUUGACUAUUAUGGAAACUUAGAAGAGGUCAUUGAAUUGCAAUAUAAUAGCGAGCAAAAUACAGUCUUUUUAUUCAAAUGUUAUUGGUAUGAUACUACUAACAAAAAAAUCAAAUUAAAUCUCCAUCAUGGUUUGGUCGAAAUUAAUACAAAGGCUAGACUCUGCAGCGUCAAGGAUAUCUUUGUUUUUGCCAAGCAAUGCCAGCAAAUUUAUUACACAUUCACUCCAUUUAAAAAUGAUUGUUCAAGAGUUGAUUGGUUAUCUGUAGUGAAAAUCAAACCCAAAAAUCAUGUCCAGGUUGUUCAGAAUGACAACUAUGAAUUAACUGUGGGAGAUGAUGUUUUUCAACUUGAUAAGUUAGUUGAUCCAUAUCGAGUUGCUCCAUCUAAUGACUUAGAAGAAAAAUCAAAUUUUCGCAUCGCCGCGAGAAUACUUUGGUUAAUGUUGACAUUGGGGAUUUAAAUGGUGUUUUGAGAACUAACGGACAUAUAGAAGUUGAUGGAGAUGAUGAUAGUGAUGAAAUCAACGUAGAAGAUUGCAAUGGAGAUGACUUAGUCCGUUGUUAUAUUCCAGAGAGUUGGAAAAAAAUUACUGCAAAUGCUAUUGAUUUUCUGUUUUUGUUUAGUAGAUUUUUUUUUAAAUCUAAAUUAUUCCUGAUGGGGUUACCUAAAAUCUAAGUUCAUCGGUAUAUUCCAAAGAGUUUGAAAAGAGUUAUUACAAAUGUCAUUGCCACUGUUUACUCACCAACGGAAUAACAAACAGUUUGUUUGACAAUUAUAUGUUAAAUUCAACGAGUGAAAUACUGACGGACCAAAACAGAACCACCGAUGAAAUGACAUACGGUUUUUCUGUCGGUGAUAUAUUAUAUUCAACAAUGGAAAUACUGAUGGAAUGAAGCGGGUAAAAAAAAAAUUAGCAUUGUUUUUCCAUCAGUAAAUCCAUCGGUAAAAUUAUUACUGACAGACCUCAAAUCACUUAUGAGAGUUUUUUCAACAAAUUAUUUCUAUCCGUGAGCCUGUUUUCUAAGUAGAAGUAUGGACAAAAAAAUCUGUCAAUAAAUCUAAAAAUUUUAGUUGUGUUUGGAUGUCUUAUUCUUAUAAUAAUUCUACAAUUUUUUUUAUUGCUUUCGUUUAUUGUCUAAUUAUUAGUUCUGAAUAUUUCACUUUACACUAAACAAUUGCAAUUUUUACGAACAAUUCCAACCUCCUCUAGCAGCGUACUCAAGGAGGACAAUAGCUGCAUAGCAUGGCUUGACAAGCAAACUCGUAAAUCAGUUAUCUAUGUAAGCGUGGGAAGCGUACUUUUCAUGCAGGAGAAAGAACUAGUAGAAAUGGUUUGGGGCCUAGCCAGCAGCAAGCAGCCUUUCUUGUGGGUGCUUAGGACUGACUUUCCUGAUGGUAUAAGGAGAAAAAAAAAAAACACUGUAUGGGAUAGAGAUUGCAAUGUGAAACGAACAGCACAAAUGGAAGUGUUAGCACACGCUGCAGUUGGAGGGUUUUGGAAUCAUGGUGGCUGGAAUCCCACAAUGAAAAGUUAAUCCGAAGGAGUUCCAGCGAUAUGCAAAACUAACAUACUUUGGGGAUCAAAGGGUGGAUGCAAGAUAUGUGAGUCAUGUAUGGAAAGUAGGCUUUUGAGUUUGAGCCUGAAAUGGAGAGGGGGAAGAUUGAAGAAAGAACUGUAAGAAAACUAAUCGUGGACAGAAAGGGGGAGAUGAGGCAGAUAGCAAUGGACUUGAAGCAGAAGUUUGAAAUGAGCAUAAGCGAUGCGAUGGUGGUUUUUCUUCUAAUUCCUUGAAUGGAUUAGUAGAGUUCAUAAUGUCUUGUUGUUGAUUGCCUACAUUGAUUAGUUUAUGUUAGUUUCCUCACAAGCUUUUUCAAUAAGUAGCUAAGUUUGUUCGAAAGUGCAUUUUGGUGAUAAUGCUAGUGUGGAUUUUAGAGAUGAGGGAUUUGAAUCACUGGCCAAAUUGUACAUUUUCAAAGUUAAAAGUUGUGGUUUGAGUCUUCUGCGCUGGUUUUGGACAGGCUCAAUCAUCAUUUUGUCUUACGCUUUGUUAGUUUUGAUCAGUUCACUAGCUCACUUUUAUUGUUUUAUUCAUUGUUCUUCGUUCACUGGCUCACUUUUAUUGUUUUGUUCUUUGUUCUUAACCCUUAGCAAAAUCUUCCUUGCACAUUAAAUAAUUAAUAGGUUGAAAAAAACAUAGUACAUUCGUUUCCUUCCUCAACUCCGACAUGGGUAAUAAAGAUAAUCUCGGAAGACUAAUGCUCAUAAAAAAAUUGCUCAAAGGAAAUAAAUUGACUAGUUGCAAAGAAAAUCCGAAGAAAAAAAAUCAUCAGGGCAGUUUCUGGUCUCAGUGUAGUGAAGAAGCAGCUCGAAGCCUUGAAUGUCAACACUUGGGAAGAUCGGCUGGUGGAGGAAGCAGCUUCUGAUUGGGAAGCUUUCCAUCCAGGACAACCCAAGCCAUCUUCAAGCCCCAGCUUGUGUGCACUUCUAGAUGGCAAUGCAUGAACCAUACACCUGAUGAUGCCAUCAUCCACAAAUGAUACAACUCAGCAAAACAUGGUACUACGUACAUACAUAAAUCUAAUUAUCUAAGCCAGGAUAUUACUCAGCACAUUAUAUACUUAUAAUUAAUUACCAACCUGGGUUGUCGGCUAGAAAACGUAUAGCAACCCAGCCUCCAGAGGGCACUCCCACGGUAUUCCUUUCAACGGGGUCAACAAGAUUGAAAUUUGCCGGAUCCUUUUUUGGAUCAAAGUUCCCAAAUCCUUCACCAACAACAAAGAAAUUGAAACCAUGCAAAUGAAGAGGGUGGCUCUCAGCACCAAGUAUGCUGGUGUCCUGCAUAAUGAGCUCCACGCUGGUGUUAAAAGGAAGCACAACUAGCUUUGUUCCAUUGCUCACCAUAGUAUUGUUUGGUGGGGUGCCGGUAUAAUUAAAAGGGAUUAGUGGAUUGAUUGGAAAGUUAGGGCUGUAAACGCCCUUUGAUUGACCAAAAUGAUGGGCUUGGAGUAGAGCUUUGGUUGGCAUCACAAAUGAUACAUUAUUAACUGAAGCUGCAAACAUUGUUCCAUUUGGUCCCUGGCAGGUUUUGUUUUUGGAGCAUGGGUUUGUUCCAAGGCUUACACUGAAGAAAAAUUGCCUGUCUACCUUUUGCGGCACAUUGGCAGGGAAUUCUGCACUUGCUAGGCUGCGGAGUUUGCUUGUGAAAUUUGUAGCAAAUGAAGUGUCAUUUAGAGGUGGUAGAUUUGGUUUAUAGAACGGCAGUUUCUUAGGGGAGUGGCUUGAUUUAAUGGUUUUGUUUGAUUCUUCAUAUUCUAAGAUUCCAGCAACAGUUGAAUUAUCAAAAGUUCCUUGACCAGUCACGUAAGGUCUAGCAGACAUGAAAAAACUGGCGUUUGGGUGGUGGGGCUUGGUCUUUAGAAGAACAUUUGUGGUUUGUCCAGGAGCAAUGAGAAGUGUCUCGGUAUCAAAUGGUUUCACAUAAAUAGCAUCAACAUCAACAACUGUGAGUGUAUGGUUUGCUAUGCUGAAGAAGAGCUCGUCAUUGAGUGCGGCGUUGAUCAUGCGAAGAAGGUAAGUCUUUCCUGGCUUUACCUUCAGCUUGAAAGUAUCUGCCAAGCACCAUGCACAUAAGGUGAAUCAGAGGGAAAAAAAAAUGCUCUGCAUGGUUGUAGAAGGCCUACUGCGCUAACAUAUUAUACCUUUGGCAGAGCAGUUAUACAACGGCCCUGGAAAUCCAUUGAUAGUGUAGGCAUCAGAGACAUUUGGGCCUCCACCCGUUUGCAUUGCCUGGUUAAUGAUUGCCUCUGGAUCUGCAUUGAACCACUCUCCUGCAAUUUAUUUUGCAUUAUCGUUUGUGUUAGCAGACAUAGGACUCCAUCAACAGGGGAAAAAAAUUGAUGCAAGUUUUAACGAGCUCUUAUUCAAAGUAGCUUAAUUAAUUCCUUAUAGUAGAUUACCGAAGAUGAUUGGAACUUCCUUGUGAGGUUUAGCAAAUGGAUAAGUAGUGCCGAGUUUGGGAAGAAUGAUAAGUGGACCGUAGAGAGUUGAUCUUAGCCAUGAUAUAUGAGCAUGCCACCAAAGAGUGCCUCUUUGUCCUACGAUGGUGUAGUUGUACACAUAGCUCUGUCCAGUU